rnacentral:rRNA from 1 species
GACACAGAGCGGAACCCGAAAGACCGGUCUCAGUUCGGAUUGGAGUCUGCAACCCGAACUCCAUGAAGCUGGAUUCGCUAGUAAUCGCGCAUCAGCCAUGGCGCGGUGAAUACGUUCCCGGGCCUUGUACACACCGCCCGUCAAGCCAUGGGAGCCGGGAGUGCCUGAAGUGCGUGACCGCAAGGAGCGCCCUAAGGCAAGACCGGUGACUGGGGCUAAGUCGUAACAAGGUAGC